UUGGUUUCACCCGAAGAUGGUGCGCUAACCUUUUAGGAGGCAGCCAGCCACGGUGGGAUCAGCGACUGGGGUGAAGUCGUAACARGGUAGCYGUAGGUGAACCUGCAGAAGGAUCA
rnacentral:rRNA from 1 species